CACUUGCAUGCAGGUAGGUUGUUGAUUUGCGUAAGCUUUCCACACCCAGAUAGCGUUAUGGUUCUCCAUGAUGUUCAAGCUCAGGUGGGCUGUGGCUAUGAUCUGUUUUCCCGUGAUGGCUUCUGAUCUCUGGAAGCUGAAUGUGCUUGGCUCCAACCCAAAUUAAUGGUGUGGUGCAGUGUGAUCCAAGCCCUUGGACAGGUAAUGCAUUCAAUCUGUAGCUCUGCUGCCCUCUGGGGAUAGUGCCCUCUGAAUGUUACGUUUUUAAAGUGAAACUGGAUUAUUUUUUCCUCCUGAAAUUUCGUGAAGCCUGCCAUUCGUGGGGAUUUGAAACCUGCUAUUUGCUACAUAUCUACGAGCAAGAAACUACUCGCCCGUCCUGAGAUCCUUGGAAGCCCCCCAAAUGUG